rnacentral:snRNA from 1 species
GUGUUUGCUUUGGCAGCACAUAUACUAAAAUUGGAAUGAUACAGAGUAGAUUAGCAUGGCCCCUGCACAAGGAUGACAUGCAAAUUCAUGAAUUGUUCCAUGUUUUC